CGGUGGUAGCGUUGUGGUUCUGAUCUUUAGGUUUCAGGAUUAGGGUUUUUGCUGCCCGCUAUCCGUCGGCCAUGGAUCCCAACACCAAGAAGCGAAAGACCGACGAGAACGGUGCCGUGGCCGCCUCUCAGGCGAUGCUGACGCCCGAGGACGCCCGCAAGAUCGUGGAGCCCUUCACCCGCGAGCAGCUCCUCGACAUCGUCCAGGAAGCCAUGUGCCGCGAUGCUGGCGUGCUCGACGCCGUCCGGGCCAUCGCGGACCGGGACCCUGCUCAGCGCAAGCUCUUCAUCCGCGGCCUCGGCUGGGAGACUACGACUGAGGCCCUCCGCAACCUCUUCUCCGCAUACGGCGAGCUCGAGGAGGCCGUCGUCAUCGUCGACAAGGCCACGGGCAAGAGCAAGGGCUACGGCUUCAUUACCUUCCGCCACAUCGAUGGAGCUCUCCUUGCCCUAAAGGAGCCCUCCAAGAAGAUUGACGGCCGCAUGACUGUCACCCAGCUCGCGGCCGCCGGCACCGCCGGCCCCACAGCUGCCGCCCCGCCCCCCGUGGAUGUCUCCCUCCGCAAGAUCUUUGUCGGGAACGUCCCGGCUGACAUGCCUUCCGACCGCCUCCUCGCCCACUUCUCCUCCUAUGGGGAGAUCGAGGAGGGGCCUCUGGGGUUUGACAAGCAGACGGGCAAGUUCCGGGGGUUUGCCCUGUUCGUCUACAAGACGGCCGAGGCAGCCAGGGCGUCGCUCGUGGACCCCACCAAGAACAUCGAUGGGCACCAUCUGGUGUGCAAGCUUGCGAUUGAGGGGAAGAAGGGGAAGCCGGGGGCUCCGGCCACCGGCGCUGCUGGUCCGGUGGGUGGAGUCCAGGGCCAGCCAAUGGGAGGCGGGGCUGAUAUCGGUGGGGAUAAGCUCGGAAUGGGUCACCAAUCCUCCUUGCCCAGCUCUAUGUCGAGCCAGUACGGAGGGCCGGGCGGUGGGAUCUCUUCGUUUGGUGGUUACUCUGGCGGUGGGAUACCAGGUGCUGCGGGGCUGGGUCACCAUCAUCACCUGAACUCAUCGCUGCCGUCAUCAAUGGGUGCUGGCAAUCCAGGUCUGUCAUCAGUGGGAAGCCAGGUGCCUUCAUCUCUAACUGGUGCUGGAGCUGGUGCUGGAGGUUAUGGAGGAGGUCUUGGGGGUCCCUAUGGAUCUUCGUCGCAGUAUGGUGGUCCUGGAUCUGGUGGCUAUGGUGGCUUUGGUGCAGGAUCAUCGUUGUACCGCUUGCCACCAAGCUCUGUUGGGAUGCCCUCUGGGGCGUAUCCUGAGAGUGGACACUACCCGCUGUCAUCGUCUGCUUACCAGAGCCAGCACCACCCACCACCUGGCUCAUCUCCUGGACCUAGGGUUCCGAGUGGAGGGCUUUACCAGAACCCAUACUACUAGGGUAGAGUAUUUCGUUAAGAGAGCAAUGCCAAAUUCAUUCCGUUUACAGAGCUAAGGAGUACGUGCUUGUUUUUCUCAUAAUCUGAGUUGAAAUUUGUAACCAGCCAAGUGCCACAGAAUAUUACUGGUUGGAGAAGCCUGCCCCUAGAAUCGAAAAAUUGCUCAAGAGCGCAUUUAUGCGGGCCAUAUCCUGUGGUUAAGUGGGAUUAUCUGGUAAAAGCCGAUUGGUGUCCGUAUGUUACGCAUCUGAUGGAAGACAAAUGCUUCGGACUAUCGCUGGACAGGUCCAAGAGGGGCCGUUGAAGUACGUGUGAAUUUGACGUCGGUUUCGAGAGGAAUCACCCGUGUUUAAACGGGACCCAUCCCCGUUGGAGGGUUACCACUUUGAGGUGGGAUCGGAGGGGGGAAUUACGGGAAUGCCGGGUCAGAGGACUAACCUUAAAUGCCUCCACAUGUUCGGCAUGCUUGUAGUGGAUGGUGGGCUAAUUUGACGAUGGGGAUCGAAACUGUGUAAUUGAGAUGAUAGCUACAAUUCUUUUUUUCUUUUUCCUCAUUUGAUUGAAGUACAAAAGUUCCUCGCUAAGAAGAAAAAUAAAUUGAAUUGCGAUUAUGUUCGGCAUC